AUAUUGACUAUACAUCUGUACAACAAUAGUUUUUUGCACCUGAGAAUGCCCACCAGACAAAAUGCAAUCAGUCUAGCUGAUUAGCUGGGACAAGUCUAUGAACCAUGAGGGAGAACAAUAAGUCUUUGAAGAUGCUAAUCUCCCACCUUCCGGAGAAGCUUCCUGGGAUGCUACAAACGGCCUUUUACUCAUGGCUGCUUUGACACUGAAAGGUCAUGGAUCACGUCACCUGGUACUAGACUCCAUGAUAGAACACCAGUAUUUUUCCAGUGUGGAAACAAAGGGUUCCCGCCAUAUGUAAAACCUAUUUAAGGUCGGAGAGUGACUUAAUCAGUGUUCAUUCUUCACUGAAUCUCUGCCCAGGAUGACUGCUGGAAACAUCUAAGAAACAAAGACAAAGGUCAGGGGGAGGAAAAGAACUGAACCCAGGCUGCGAAGGUGUCUGGCCUGUAAAAGAAAUACCUACUGUUUUAAGCUGCAACCAAGAGUAGCAUGCCUUCAAGAAACUCCGCAACCUGCCUACAACGACAUUUAGGACCACCAGGCCUCUAAAAUGAUGUCAAUAUGUUUGGAAAAGAUACUUUCCACUUCCCUCCUCUCUAGUAGAAGGAAAGGGUGAAACAUUGCAAAUGUGGAAAGAAAAGGCCAGGUGUGAGACCCAACAUGUGAUGAAGGCCCACAGUGAGUAACACAAAACUUUAUAUAUGGCAUUUCUGUCUAUUGUCUUCACUGGAAAUUGGAGGUUAAAAUGUAGCCUUCAAUCAAUAUACCCAGAUUCCUUCAGGACCAGACUGUCCAUGGCCCUUACACGGAUGUGUGGAGAUCUCGAUGCCUUUCUCCUACCCUUCAUACAACUUGAGCAAGGUCCCACAAGGAUAAUAAUAUUCAAGAUGAUGCAGGGAUUGUCCCCAAAGUACAAACAAACUCACUCUGGGGACAGGCAGGACAAGAUCUCAGCUAUCUCCAUGCUGACCUUUGGAGCUGGGUUGGCCUAGAGAUGAGUUUCUAGAGGGACUGAAGUCCAUUGUAUGAGAUGGACCUAAUUUGGUUACACACAUCUGUUUGCUCUUUAUUAGAAUAUCCUACUAUUGUUUCCCUUCUCAAUUAGUUUUUACUUUGUUGAUUCUGACAUUAUCGAAACUGGUUCACCUUCCUGUACUUUAUAUGUUCCUAUUGCUGGAAAAAGGCAGAACUUUACUGUACCAAUAGUCUCUCCAUUCAGCUAAUAGUGGUAUAUUGCACUACUUGCAUACAGAGCUGUCUUCUGGUGUACCUACUACAGAGUUCUUUAACAUCACUACAAUUACACUGCUUUCGAUGAAGCAUCUAGUAACUUCUGUCAUACAGUUAUUCUCAACUACAAUAUAAUA